AGAGUUUGAUCAUGGCUCAGAUUGAACGCUGGCGGCAGGCCUAACACAUGCAAGUCGAACGGUAACAGGAAACAGCUUGCUGUUUCGCUGACGAGUGGCGGACGGGUGAGUAAUGUCUGGGAAACUGCCUGAUGGGGGGGGAUAACUACUGGAAACGGUAGCUAAUACCGCAUAACGUCGCAAGACCAAAGAGGGGGACCUUCGGGCCUCUUGCCAUCGGAUGUGCCCAGAUGGGAUUAGCUUGUUGGUGGGGUAACGGCUCACCAAGGCGACGAUCCCUAGCUGGUCUGAGAGGAUGACCAGCCACACUGGAACUGAGACACGGUCCAGACUCCUACGGGAGGCAGCAGUGGGGAAUAUUGCACAAUGGGCGCAAGCCUGAUGCAGCCAUGCCGCGUGUAUGAAGAAGGCCUUCGGGUUGUAAAGUACUUUCAGCGGGGAGGAAGGGAGUAAAGUUAAUACCUUUGCUCAUUGACGUUACCCGCAGAAGAAGCACCGGCUAACUCCGUGCCAGCAGCCGCGGUAAUACGGAGGGUGCAAGCGUUAAUCGGAAUUACUGGGCGUAAAGCGCACGCAGGCGGUUUGUUAAGUCAGAUGUGAAAUCCCCGGGCUCAACCUGGGAACUGCAUCUGAUACUGGCAAGCUUGAGUCUCGUAGAGGGGGGUAGAAUUCCAGGUGUAGCGGUGAAAUGCGUAGAGAUCUGGAGGAAUACCGGUGGCGAAGGCGGCCCCCUGGACGAAGACUGACGCUCAGGUGCGAAAGCGUGGGGAGCAAACAGGAUUAGAUACCCUGGUAGUCCACGCCGUAAACGAUGUCGACUUGGAGGUUGUGCCCUUGAGGCGUGGCUUCCGGAGCUAACGCGUUAAGUCGACCGCCUGGGGAGUACGGCCGCAAGGUUAAAACUCAAAUGAAUUGACGGGGGCCCGCACAAGCGGUGGAGCAUGUGGUUUAAUUCGAUGCAACGCGAAGAACCUUACCUGGUCUUGACAUCCACGGAAGUUUUCAGAGAUGGAAAUGUGCCUUCGGGAACCGUGAGACAGGUGCUGCAUGGCUGUCGUCAGCUCGUGUUGUGAAAUGUUGGGUUAAGUCCCGCAACGAGCGCAACCCUUAUCCUUUGUUGCCAGCGGUCCGGCCGGGAACUCAAAGGAGACUGCCAGUGAUAAACUGGAGGAAGGUGGGGAUGACGUCAAGUCAUCAUGGCCCUUACGACCAGGGCUACACACGUGCUACAAUGGCGCAUACAAAGAGAAGCGACCUCGCGAGAGCAAGCGGACCUCAUAAAGUGCGUCGUAGUCCGGAUUGGAGUCUGCAACUCGACUCCAUGAAGUCGGAAUCGCUAGUAAUCGUGGAUCAGAAUGCCACGGUGAAUACGUUCCCGGGCCUUGUACACACCGCCCGUCACACCAUGGGAGUGGGUUGCAAAAGAAGUAGGUAGCUUAACCUUCGGGAGGGCGCUUACCACUUUGUGAUUCAUGACUGGGGUGAAGUCGUAACAAGGUAACCGUAGGGGAACCUGCGGUUGGAUCACCU
rnacentral:rRNA from 1 species